GCUGCGGCUGCAAUCCCUCGCCAGUUUCCAGCCCAAAAGCCGGAAGGCUGCCACCGCACGUCGCUUGAGCGGCGGGUGCAGGCUGCUGGGUGCACAGAGCGGUCACGGGCGAGGCAGCGGCGUUGUGGGCCCAGGUGAGAGGCGUCAGCAGGCUCACGGGCGCGCCUCCACUUUCGGCGCCUGGGGAACUGCUGUUUGACCUGGUCCCGCUCCCGGCGCCGCCGUCGCCAUGGCCGCUGCACCUUGUUUUACAGCACCAUCUUCUUCCAUCGUUGUAGCCAGCGGCGCCGUAUGAACCGGCGGCGGCUGUGAAGCGGCACACUGGAGGAGAGCUGGGCAAAAAUCGACUAGGCCCAUAGAAUAGAUUGCGAUAGCCGUGUCCUCGCCGAUCACGGCGGCAAGCAGGCUGCAGCAGCGCAUGGUGUCAUCUCCAAGAGCCUGUGGAUUAUGGGGACGUUUCUUAUGCUCAUCGCCUGCGUAGCCUGGUCCCUCUGGUUCAUCUUCCAGGGGCUGUUGCUCAAGGAGUACCCGAACAAGCUGCUUCAGCCCUGACUCUGUGCAUCUUUGGCACGAUCCAGUCGUUCCCCAUCGCUUUAGCCAUGGAGAGGGACCAUGGAUUCUCCAGAUGGAAGCUUGGCCUCGACCUGCCCUUGGUCUCAGUUGCAUUCUCUGUAUGUCCACCAUGUGGAACCCGCUAAACCUGCUCCUCACCGUCUUCUGCUCCUCCCUCCUGGGCCAAACCGUCCACCUUGGAAGCGUUUUGGGUGGGAUUCUGUUGGUCGGCGGCCUUUACAGCGUGCUGUGGGGGAAAAGGAAGGAGGAAACUCGAUUGGCGAUGCCACCGGAUCACCUUGAGGAGCAGAGUAGUAGCAAGGAGAAGCAACUCCUCGAUGCCAAAGAGUGUGAGGUUAAGGAGCCGGCAUCAUCAGAUCAGCAAGUGUGAUGAGGAGAAUGCAGUACCCAAGAACUCUAUAUCGCGCUCUCGCCAGGCAACCGAGGGGAAUUCUGAAGUUCUGAAGUUCUUGCCGAUUACAUGAGGUACCAACUUUGAUGGAAAACCUUCCCAGACUGACGGUGGCCAUCAGAGAAAAUUCCCCCUGACUGCUCUCAAGUGGCACCCGGACAAGCAUCAAGGACCUUGACAGGUUAGUGUCAUAGACUCAUAGUAUGUGUUGUCCUUGCAUUUUAUCAUUUUUUCCCACCUCUCUUUAAAGGAUUUUGUGAUACGGUUAUGGACAUUCUGGUAACUGGCGCCGAAGCUUACUGGACAUU